rnacentral:rRNA from 1 species
GUGAAAAUACAAUGGGGGUGAAGAUGCCCUCUACCUGCAGCUAGACGAAAAGACCCCAGGAGCUUUACUGUAGCUUGAUAUUGCGUGUACGUGCUCAUUGCGUAGCAUAGAUGGGAGAGGUUGAGACAUAAAUUUCGGUUUGUGUGGACUCGUCAGUGAAAUACCAUUCUUUGUGUAUGUACAUGCUAACCUGACCGGCAAAAACGGGCGGAGACAGUAUCUGGCAGGCAGUUUAAGUGGGGCGCUUUCCUCCUAAAAAGUAACGGAGGAGUUUAUUAAGGUUGGCUAGGCGCGAAUGGACACCGUGCCGAUAGUGCAAUGGCAAAAGCCAGCUUAACUGCAAGACGUGAAUGUCACGCAGACGCGAAAGCGGAACAUAGUGAACCGACAGUUUGCAUUAGACGCAGCUGGAGAUUAUCUGAUAAAAGUUACCCUGGGGAUAACAGGCUAGUUCUGCCCAAGAGUUCAUAUCGACGGCAGAGUUCGGCACCUUAACAUAUCGGGGUGCCAUACAAGUAAUUGUAUUAGCGAUUGGUAUUAUUCGGGCGCAAAUGAAUCAUUGGCGCUCGGUGAAUAACAAUAAAAAAUUAGUGGCUUAUAACGGUGAACUCCUUAAUAAUGAACACAUUAAGGACAAUGCCGUGGGAAGUUUCUUCACAAGAACGUGAUCAUACAUUCUUUCGAGAAUGUAACGGCACCGACUAUUUAUUUAGUGGUGAUUGUGUUGAUAACCCUGUAGAGACUUGGAACGUGAAGUUCCGGAGUUGUGAUCAUGAGAAGAUCGCAGCUAAUACGCCAACGCCUUUCUUGAUCGAAAGGAUGAAGACAUAGUCCGAACCUUCUGGUAACAGAAGACAAAUACGACAUUGCGAUGUCGGCUCAUCUUAUCCUGGGGCUGGAGAAGGUCCCAAGGGUUUGGCUGUUCGCCAAUUAAAAAGAUACGUGAGCUGGGUUCAGACCGUCGUGAGACAGGUCGGUCUCCUAUCUGCUGCAGGCGCGGAUUCUUGAAGAGAUUUGCUUCUAGUACGAGAGGACCGAAGUGAACUGACCUCUGGUCUACCUGCUGUCACGCCAGUGGCACCCGCAGGGUAGCUAAGUCGGGAAGGGAUAAGCGCUGAAAGCAUCUAAGCGCGAAACCCACUCUAAGAUAAGGAAUCGUUGAGACUCGUGAGAGAUGAUCACGUGAUAGGCUUUAGGUGUACGCACAGCAAUGUGUUCAGCCAAGAAGUACUAAUUUGUCGAAUUUAUUGG